rnacentral:rRNA from 1 species
UCCUUCGGGAAUGAGUACAGCGGCGGACGGGUGAGUAAUGCGUGAGAAUCUGCCCUCUAAUGAAGAAUACCCCCGAGAAAUCGGGUCCAAUACUGCAUACGUCCCUUCGGGGAGAAAGGUGGCUUAAUUUGCUGCCGUUAGAGGAUGAGCUCGCGUGCUAUUAGCUAGUUGGUGGGGUAAAGGCCUACCAAGGCAAUGAUGGCUAGCCGGCCUGAGAGGGUGUACGGCCACACUGGAACUUAGACACGGUCCAGACUCCUACGGGAGGCAGCAGUGGGGAAUAUUGCGCAAUGGGCGAAAGCCUGACGCAGCGACGCCGCGUGGAGGAUGAAGGUCUUCGGAUUGUAAACUUCUGUUAAGUGGGAAAAAAGACUCGCCUUUAAUAGGGGCGAGGGAUGAUUGUACCAUUAGAGAAAGCACUGGCUAACUUCGUGCCAGCAGCCGCGGUAAUACGAAGGGUGCGAGCGUUAUUCGGAAUCACUAGGGCGUAAAGGGUGUGUAGGCGGUGUAUUAAGUCUAUUGUUAAAUUCCUCGGCCUAACUGAGGACUCGCGAUGGAUACUGGUAUGCUGGAGGUUGGAAGAGAGGAGUGGAAUUCUCGGAGUAGCGGUAAAAUGCGUAGAUCUCGAGAGGAACACCGAUUGCGAAGGCAGCUCCUUGGUCCAUACCUGACGCUGAAACACGAAAGCGUGGGGAGCAAACAGGAUUAGAUACCCUGGUAGUCCACGCCGUAAACGAUGAUCACUAGAUGUCGGGUCUGCUUCUGCGGGCUCGGUGUCGUAGCUAACGCGAUAAGUGAUCCGCCUGGGAACUA